rnacentral:rRNA from 1 species
AUUGAACGCUGGCGGCAUGCUUUACACAUGCAAGUCGAACGGGGUGAGGGGGCAACUCCUCAUUCAGUGGCGAACGGGUGAGUAAUGCAUCGGAACGUGUCCCGUAGUGGGGGAUAACGCCGGGAAACCGGCGCUAAUACCGCGUAUGCUCUACGGAGGAAAGUGGGGGACCGCAAGGCCUCACGCUAUGGGAGCGGCCGAUGUCCGAUUAGCUUGUUGGCGGGGUAAAGGCCCACCAAGGCGACGAUCGGUAGCUGGUCUGAGAGGAUGAUCAGCCACACUGGGACUGAGACACGGCCCAGACUCCUACGGGAGGCAGCAGUGGGGAAUUUUGGACAAUGGGGGCAACCCUGAUCCAGCCAUGCCGCGUGCGGGAAGAAGGCCUUCGGGUUGUAAACCGCUUUUAGUCGGAAAGAAAAGGCACGCCCUAAUACGGCGUGUUCUUGACGGUACCGGCGGAAUAAGCACCGGCUAACUACGUGCCAGCAGCCGCCGCGUAAGAC